rnacentral:sRNA from 1 species
GAAAUCGAUUUGAAACUCGUCGUUGAUGUUCUUAUGAGGAAGAAAACGAAGAAGAAGAACCCAGUGAUCGUCGGAGACUCAAUUUCGUUCACUGAAGGUUUCGUUUCAGAGCUAAUGGCAAAGCUAGAGAGAGGAGAAAUCGAUCAAACCGGUGAGUUAAAGCAAACCCAUUUCGUCAAGUUUCAUUUUUCGCCAAUGGCGUCCAAGUUCAUGAGAAGAGAAGACGUUGAGCUAAACAUAAAGGAGUUAAGGAAGAAAGUGCUCUCUUUAACAACGAGUGGCAAAAAUGCAAU